UACGGGGGGAGCAAGCGUUGUUCGGAUUUACUGGGCGUAAAGGGCGCGUAGGCGGUCAGCACAAGUCAGUUGUGAAAUCUCCGGGCUUAACCCGGAAAGGUCAACUGAUACUGUGCGACUAGAGUGCGGAAGGGGCAACUGGAAUUCUCGGUGUAGCGGUGAAAUGCGUAGAGAUGUGGAGGAACACCGAUGGCGAAGGCAGCCUCCUGGGCCAACACUGACGCUCAUGCACGAAAGCGUGGGGAGCAAACAGG
rnacentral:rRNA from 1 species